CCUACGGGAGGCAGCAGUGGGGAAUUUUGGACAAUGGGCGAAAGCCUGAUCCAGCAAUGCCGCGUGCAGGAAGAAGGCCUUCGGUUGUAAACUGCUUUUGUACGGAGCGAAAAGGCUCUCUCUAAUACAGGGGGCUCAUGACGGUACCGUAAGAAUAAGCACCGGCUAACUACGUGCCAGCAGCCGCGGUAAUACGUAGGGUGCAAGCGUUAAUCGGAAUUACUGGGCGUAAAGCGUGCGCAGGCGGUUUUGUAAGACAGGCGUGAAAUCCCCGGGCUCAACCUGGGAAUGGCGCUUGUGACUGCAAAGCUGGAGUGCGGCAGAGGGGGAUGGAAUUCCGCGUGUAGCAGUGAAAUGCGUAGAUAUGCGGAGGAACACCGAUGGCGAAGGCAAUCCCCUGGGCCUGCACUGACGCUCAUGCACGAAAGCGUGGGGAGCAAACAGGAUUAGAUACCCUGGUAGUCCACGCCCUAAACGAUGUCAACUGGUUGUUGGGUCUUUACUGACUCAGUAACGAAGCUAACGCGUGAAGUUGACCGCCUGGGGAGGACGGCCGCGAGUAGAACGUACGAAGUAGAGUUAGACGGACGUGAGACGUUGCCGACGGACGACGACGAGGGAGGAGG
rnacentral:rRNA from 1 species